GAUGAAGAACGCAGCGAAAUGCGAUAAGUAAUGUUAAUUGCAGAAUUCAGUGAAUCAUCGAAUCUUUGAACGCACCUUGCACCCUUUGGUAUUCCGAAGGGUAUGCUCGUUUGAGUGUCAUUGUACUCUCACACUUCUAAUUCCUUUCGGGAUUGGGAGCGGUGGACUUGGGUGUUGCUGCUUUAGUUGUGGCUCACCUCAAAUAAGUUAGUGCAACUCUUGGUUGGACAUAGUACGGCGUGAUAAGUGUCUUCGCCGGCGCCUCUGUAAGGAGGGUGGCCGAUCGGGAGCUCUGUGCUUCAAACCGUCUUCGGACAAUCUUUGACAACUUGACCUCAAAUCGAGUAGGACUACCCGCUGAACUUAAGCAUAUCAAUAAGCGGAGGA
rnacentral:misc_RNA from 1 species